rnacentral:rRNA from 1 species
CACGGGGGGGAGCAAGCGUUGUUCGGAAUCACUGGGCGUAAAGGGCGUGUAGGCGGUCAGGUAAGUGGGAUGUGAAAUGCCCCCGGCUCACCCGGGGACCGGCAUCCCAUACUGCUUGGCUUGAGUACGGGAGAGGAUGUGGGAAUUCCUGGUGUAGCGGUGAAAUGCGUAGAUAUCAGGAGGAACACCGGUGGCGAAGGCGCACAUCUGGCCCGAUACUGACGCUGAGGCGCGAAAGCUAGGGGAGCGAACGGG